GGCACUGUAGCUCAGUCGGUUAGAGCGUAGGACUCAUAAGCCUAAGGUCACUAGUUCGAUCCUAGUCAGUGCUACCA
rnacentral:tRNA from 1 species